rnacentral:rRNA from 1 species
GUGGGGAAUUUUGGACAAUGGGGGCAACCCUGAUCCAGCCAUUCCGCGUGAGUGAAGAAGGCCUUCGGGUUGUAAAGCUCUUUCGGCAGGAACGAAACGGUGCGGGCUAAUACCCUGUGCUAAUGACGGUACCUGAAGAAGAAGCACCGGCUAACUACGUGCCAGCAGCCGCGGUAAUACGUAGGGUGCGAGCGUUAAUCGGAAUUACUGGGCGUAAAGCGUGCGCAGGCGGUUGUGUAAGACAGAUGUGAAAUCCCCGGGCUUAACCUGGGAACUGCGUUUGUGACUGCACGACUCGAGUGUGGCAGAGGGGGGUGGAAUUCCACGUGUAGCAGUGAAAUGCGUAGAGAUGUGGAGGAACACCGAUGGCGAAGGCAGCCCCCUGGGUCAACACUGACGCUCAUGCACGAAAGCGUGGGUAGCAAACAGGAUUAGAAACCCCGGUAGUCC